rnacentral:rRNA from 1 species
CAGAACGUCGUGAGACAGUUCGGUCUCUAUCUAUCGUGGGCGUUGGAAAUUUGCGUGGAUCUGACAUUAGUACGAGAGGACCGUGUUGGACAGACCUCCGGUUUACCGGUUGUCCCGCCAGGGGCACCGCCGGGUAUCCGCGUCUGGAUCGGAUAAGCGCUGAAUGCAUCUAAGUGCGAAGCCGGCCGCAAGAUUAGAUUUCCUUUGAGGGUCGUUGUAGACUACGACGUUGAUAGGCUGCAGGUGUAAAGGCGGUGACGUCAAAGCCGAGCAGUACUAAUUGCCCGAACUUUUCCUUGAG